CGUGAGGGAGGAGGCUCUUGGGUUGUAAACCUCUUUUCUCAGGGAAGAAGAACUGACGGUACCUGAGGAAUAAGCAUCGGCUAACUCCGUGCCAGCAGCCGCGGUAAUACGGAGGAUGCAAGCGUUAUCCGGAAUUAUUGGGCGUAAAGCGUCCGCAGGUGGCUUUUCAAGUCUGCUGUCAAAGCGUGGAGCUUAACUCCAUAUAGGCGGUGGAAACUGAAAGACUAGAGGCCGGUAGGGGUAGUGGGAAUUCCCAGUGUAGCGGUGAAAUGCGUAGAGAUUGGGAAGAACAUCGGUGGCGAAAGCGCACUACUGGGCUGGACCUGACACUGAGGGACGAAAGCUAGGGGAGCGAAAGGGAUUAGAUAACCCGCGUGAAGGAUGGGUACUGUGCGUAGCUUCCCUCGCCCAAGCUGUGCCGUAGCUAACGCGUUAAGUCUCCCGCCUGGGGAGUACGCACGCAAGUGAGAAACUAAGAGAGAUUGACGGGGCCCGCACAAGGGGUGGAGGAGGUGGUUUAA
rnacentral:rRNA from 1 species